rnacentral:rRNA from 1 species
GAUGAACGCUGGCGGCGUGCCUAAUACAUGCAAGUCGAGCGAACGGACGAGAAGCUUGCUUCUCUGAUGUUAGCGGCGGACGGGUGAGUAACACGUGGAUAACCUACCUAUAAGACUGGGAUAACUUCGGGAAACCGGAGCUAAUACCGGAUAAUAUUUUGAACCGCAUUGUUCAAAAGUGAAAGUCGGUCUUGCUGUCACUUAUAGCUGGAUCUGCGCUGCUUUAGCUAGUUGGUAAGGUAACGGCUUACCAAGGCAACGAUGCAUAGCUGACCGGAGAGGGGGAUCGGCCACACUGGAACUGAGACACGGUCCAGACUCCUACGGGAGGCAGCAGUAGGGAAUCUUACGCAAUGGGCGAAAGCCUGACGGAGCAACGCCGCGUGAGUGAUGAAGGUCUUCGGAUCGUAAAACUCUGUUAUUAGGGAAGAACAUAUGUGGAAGUAACUGUGCACAGCGUGACGGUACCUAAUCAGAAAGCCACGGCUAACUACGUG